GCCAGUGUGGCAUAGUGGUUUGAGUGUUGGACUGCAACUCCAGAGACCAGGUUUUGAUUCCCAGCUCAGCCA
rnacentral:tRNA from 1 species